rnacentral:piRNA from 1 species
UAAUACAAAUAGAAAUAUUGA